AACGAACGCUGGCGGCAUGCCUAACACAUGCAAGUCGAACGAGACCUUCGGGUCUAGUGGCGCACGGGUGCGUAACGCGUGGGAACCUGCCCUUAGGUUCGGAAUAACUCCCCGAAAGGGGUGCUAAUACCGGAUAAUGUCUUCGGACCAAAGAUUUAUCGCCUUUGGAUGGGCCCGCGUUGGAUUAGCUAGUUGGUAGGGUAAAAGCCUACCAAGGCGACGAUCCAUAGCUGGUCUGAGAGGAUGAUCAGCCACACUGGGACUGAGACACGGCCCAGACUCCUACGGGAGGCAGCAGCGGGGAAUAUUGGACAAUGGGCGAAAGCCUGAUCCAGCAAUGCCGCGUGAGGGAUGAAGGCCUUAGGGUUGUAAAGCUCUUUUACCCGGGAUGAUAAUGACAGUACCGGGAGAAUAAGCUCCGGCUAACUCCGUGC
rnacentral:rRNA from 1 species